rnacentral:lncRNA from 1 species
CUCUCUGUGUAGCUUUAGCUAUCCUGGAAUUCACUCUGUAGACCAGAUUGGCCUUGAACUCAUGGAUAUACACCUACCUCUGGCUCCUGAGUGCUGGGAUUAAAGGUGCACAAUGAAGAUAAUAAGAGUCCUUGCUUCAGAACUGUCGUGAAGAUUGCCUGAGAACACAGCUUGAGGAUACUCUAGGGCAAGUGUGGUAAGAUGGCUCAGCAGGAAAAGGUGCUUGCACUACAAGCCUGGAAAUCUGAGUUCAAUCCCUGGAACCCAGGCAUGGAUGGGCCUCUCUGGUCAGAGGUGUGAGGGAGAUCAGAGAAGGAGUGUGCUGGCUGGCUGGCAGAGUAUGGGCACCCUCUGACAUUCUCCAGCACAGCCAGCUUGGCCCAAGUAGGUCAGGGCAGUUUCCUGGCCUGUAGCCUGAGUUCCCUCCCACUCACUUGUAUUUAUGGCCAAGAUCUGCCUGGAGCCCUCUUACCUUCAAAGGCUGAGGACACUGCUUGCUCAGACUCUACUCAAGGACUCUGCAGGGCAGGGCAGGGCAGGGCAGGGCAGGGCUGGAUGGCUUCCUGAGGGUACAGCUGACUUGGAUGGCCCACAGAGAGCUCAGCCCUGGGCAAGCCAUUUUGGGCAGGGACUGCACCUGUAAGCUCCACCCUGCAGUUUCUGUCCCACCUGCCCCAUCUUUUCUUUAGAAGUCAGAGCAGCAUAGAGUGGACUCAGCCUACAAGCUGCACAACUGCAUCUGUGGUAUGGGAUUCCUUGGCUAGCCUCAGCCUCUGGGUACCCAACUCACUCCCACUGGCUACUAAGAGGAAGAAACAACACUUCACCCUUCUGCCUUCUCUAGAAUCUUCUAUGCAUGACACACCUCUCAGGCCCUGAAAACGCAUACAUUACCCAAGCUGGUGGCCAAGACUCCUCUUGUUAUGGGAUCAAGAAAGGUAAAGUUCCCUGCUGCAGCUCUGCUAAGGCCUGCAGGGUUGACCUGAAGAAGCAGUUUGUGCCCAGGGCUAAUAAAUUAUGAUUCCCUGGUUCCUGAAUGCUCUUGUAAGCACACCUCAGCAUCGGCGUUCCUGGGCACCUCCACUUGUGUAUAAGCACAGACAAACGUGCAUACCACAUGGGGAUCAGUGCAUACAUGUAGAAUUCUGCUUCCCCAUCGUGUCUAUGCUCCUGACUGCAUGUACCUACUUCAAUAGACAACAGCUCUCAAACACUGUGUCCCUGUCUACACUUAGACCCUGGAUGUACAGCUGUGUGCGCAUUGCUCUCUGUUGCUUCACUGGCAGUGAGUCUUAAAUCGUGUAUGUUUUUACAUUUCCUUCUCCUAGAGCAUACUUGGUAUUUGCUAUCAUUGUAUAUAGUUUUAUAUCAAGCCUAAACCUUCUCAUUUAGACUAAAAGGGGAAUUGUAGCAAUAUAUUUGCCUGUGAACCUGUAACAAUGGCCAUGCCUUUUCAGUUAAAGGGAGAGGAUAAGGAGGCAGGGUCUACAUCAUUGGAGCAGGAACACCACGACAGCCACUUACUUUUUUCU